rnacentral:rRNA from 1 species
AGCGAACGCUGGCGGCAGGCCUAACACAUGCAAGUCGAACGAACUCUUCGGAGUUAGUGGCGGACGGGUGAGUAACACGUGGGAACGUGCCUUUAGGUUCGGAAUAACUCAGGGAAACUUGUGCUAAUACCGAAUGUGCCCUUCGGGGGAAAGAUUUAUCGCCUUUAGAGCGGCCCGCGUCUGAUUAGCUAGUUGGUGAGGUAAAGGCACACCAAGGCGACGAUCAGUAGCUGGUCUGAGAGGAUGAUCAGGCACGUUGGGACUGAGACACGGCCCAAACUCGGACGCGAGGCAGCAGUGGGGAAUCUAGCGGAAGGGGCGAAAGUGUGACACAGCCAUGCGGCGGGAAUGAUGAAGGUCUUAGGAUUGUAAAAUUCUUUGUGCGGGGACGAGAAUGACGGUACCGGGAGAAGAAGCACCGGCUAACUACGUG